rnacentral:rRNA from 1 species
GACGAAUCAUCUGGAAAGAUGAAUCAAAGAAGGUAAUAAUCCUGUAGUCGAAAAUGUUGUCUCUCUUGAGUGGAUCCUGAGUACGACGGAGCACGUGAAAUUCCGUCGGAAUCUGGGAGGACCAUCUCCUAAGGCUAAAUACUCUCUAGUGACCGAUAGUGAACCAGUACCGUGAGGGAAAGGUGAAAAGCACCCCAGAAGGGGAGUGAAAUAGAACCUGAAACCGUGUGCUUACAAGUAGUCAGAGCCCGUUAAUGGGUGAUGGCGUGCCUUUUGUAGAAUGAACCGGCGAGUUACGAUUUGAUGCAAGGUUAAGCAGUAAAUGUGGAGCCGUAGCGAAAGCGAGUCUGAAUAGGGCGUUUAGUAUUUGGUCGUAGACCCGAAACCAGGUGAUCUACCCUUGGUCAGGUUGAAGUUCAGGUAACACUGAAUGGAGGACCGAACCGACUUACGUUGAAAAGUGAGCGGAUGAACUGAGGGUAGCGGAGAAAUUCCAAUCGAACCUGGAGAUAGCUGGUUCUCUCCGAAAUAGCUUUAGGGCUAGCCUCAAGUGAUGAUUAUUGGAGGUAGAGCACUGUUUGGACGAGGGGCCCCUCUCGGGUUACCGAAUUCAGACAAACUCCGAAUGCCAAUUAAUUUAACUUGGGAGUCAGAACAUGGGUGAUAAGGUCCGUGUUCGAAAGGGAAACAGCCCAGACCACCAGCUAAGGUCCCAAAAUAUAUGUUAAGUGGAAAAGGAUGUGGCGUUGCCCAGACAACUAGGAUGUUGGCUUAGAAGCAGCCAUCAUUUAAAGAGUGCGUAAUAGCUCACUAGUCGAGUGACACUGCGCCGAAAAUGUACCGGGGCUAAACAUAUUACCGAAGCUGUGGAUUGUCCUUUGGACAAUGGUAGGAGAGCGUUCUAAGGGCGUUGAAGCAUGAUCGUAAGGACAUGUGGAGCGCUUAGAAGUGAGAAUGCCGGUGUGAGUAGCGAAAGACGGGUGAGAAUCCCGUCCACCGAUUGACUAAGGUUUCCAGAGGAAGGCUCGUCCGCUCUGGGUUAGUCGGGUCCUAAGCUGAGGCCGACAGGCGUAGGCGAUGGAUAACAGGUUGAUAUUCCUGUACCACCUAUAAUCGUUUUAAUCGAUGGGGGGACGCAGUAGGAUAGGCGAAGCGUGCGAUUGGAUUGCACGUCUAAGCAGUAAGGCUGAGUAUUAGGCAAAUCCGGUACUCGUUAAGGCUGAGCUGUGAUGGGGAGAAGACAUUGAGUCUUCGAGUCGUUGAUUUCACACUGCCGAGAAAAGCCUCUAGAUAGAAAAUAGGUGCCCGUACCGCAAACCGACACAGGUAGUCAAGAUGAGAAUUCUAAGGUGAGCGAGCGAACUCUCGUUAAGGAACUCGGCAAAAUGACCCCGUAACUUCGGGAGAAGGGGUGCUCUUUAGGGUUAACGCCCAGAAGAGCCGCAGUGAAUAGGCCCAAGCGACUGUUUAUCAAAAACACAGGUCUCUGCUAAACCGUAAGGUGAUGUAUAGGGGCUGACGCCUGCCCGGUGCUGGAAGGUUAAGAGGAGUGGUUAGCUUCUGCGAAGCUACGAAUCGAAGCCCCAGUAAACGGCGGCCGUAACUAUAACGGUCCUAAGGUAGCGAAAUUCCUUGUCGGGUAAGUUCCGACCCGCACGAAAGGCGUAACGAUUUGGGCACUGUCUCAACGAGAGACUCGGUGAAAUCAUAGUACCUGUGAAGAUGCAGGUUACCCGCGACAGGACGGAAAGACCCCGUGGAGCUUUACUGUAGCCUGAUAUUGAAAUUCGGCACAGCUUGUACAGGAUAGGUAGGAGCCUUUGAAACGUGAGCGCUAGCUUACGUGGAGGCGCUGGUGGGAUACUACCCUAGCUGUGUUGGCUUUCUAACCCGCACCACUUAUCGUGGUGGGAGACAGUGUCAGGCGGGCAGUUUGACUGGGGCGGUCGCCUCCUAAAAGGUAACGGAGGCGCUCAAAGGUUCCCUCAGAAUGGUUGGAAAUCAUUCAUAGAGUGUAAAGGCAUAAGGGAGCUUGACUGCGAGACCUACAAGUCGAGCAGGGUCGAAAGACGGACUUAGUGAUCCGGUGGUUCCGCAUGGAAGGGCCAUCGCUCAACGGAUAAAAGCUACCCCGGGGAUAACAGGCUUAUCUCCCCCAAGAGUUCACAUCGACGGGGAGGUUUGGCACCUCGAUGUCGGCUCAUCGCAUCCUGGGGCUGUAGUCGGUCCCAAGGGUUGGGCUGUUCGCCCAUUAAAGCGGUACGCGAGCUGGGUUCAGAACGUCGUGAGACAGUUCGGUCCCUAUCCGUCGUGGGCGUAGGAAAUUUGAGAGGAGCUGUCCUUAGUACGAGAGGACCGGGAUGGACAUACCUCUGGUGUACCAGUUGUCGUGCCAACGGCAUAGCUGGGUAGCUAUGUGUGGACGGGAUAAGUGCUGAAAGCAUCUAAGCAUGAAGCCCCCCUCAAGAUGAGAUUUCCCAACUUCGGUUAUAAGAUCCCUCAAAGAUGAUGAGGUUAAUAGGUUCGAGGUGGAAGCAUGGUGACAUGUGGAGCUGACGAAUACUAAUCGAUCGAAGACUUAAUCAA